rnacentral:rRNA from 1 species
UACGGAAGGGGCAAGCGUUGUUCGGAAUCAUUGGGCGUAAAGGGCGCGUAGGUGGUUCUGUAUGUCUACCGUGAAAGCGUACGGCUCAACCGUAUUUUGUCGGUGGAAACUGCAGGACUUGAGGCUGGGAGGGGCUGGUGGAAUUCCCUGUGUAGCGGUGAAAUGCGUAGAGAUGGGGGAGAACACUCGUGGCGAAGGCGGAUCUCUGGGCCAUUACUGACGCUGAGGAGCGAAAGCGUGGGGAGCGAACAGG